CAGCACAGAGCCCAAUGCGGGGUUCAGUCUCACAAACUGUGAGAUCGUAACCUGAGCUGAAAUCAAGUCAGACGCUCAACCAAUUGAGCCACCCAGACGCCCCCAUCUUGUCUUUAACCAGCUAAAGUUAUGGCCUGCUGCUGUGGUCUAUGUUCUAACCAGAAGUCACCCCUCUUACUGUGUUCUCAAAGUCUAUAGGGUCUGUAGUGCUGUCCCCUUUUCGAUCUUGACAUCGCUCUUGGGUUUUCACUCUUUAAAAUAUAUUUGUUGUGAUUUCAUCGAGGAACCAGCUAAUGGUUUGUUUUGUAUUUCAUUUGUCUUCACUUUUGGUCUAUUUUAUUUCCCAUUUUUGGGGUCAGAUUUGCUGUUAAUUUUCUUGUUUCUUAAAAUGAAAGCUUAGACCUUUGGCUUUAAACCUUUCUUCUUUUCUAAUGUAUAUGUAAAUUUCCCCAAGUUUGCUUUAGCAGGAUCCUGAAAUUUUGGUGUAUUAUAAUCAGAGUAUCAUUCAGUUCAACAUAGUUAAUUUACAUAUGGCUUUUUUAGCCCAUGUUUGAUUCCACUGUCAUCAGAGCUGGGUGUAGUGUUCUAUAGAUAUCGAUUAGGUAAAGUCUGUUCAACUAUUAAAGAUCCUUCUUGAUUUUUGUUCGUUCUGUCAUUUAGAGAGAGAUGUGACAGUGUUAAUUUCCAACUAGGGUCAUAGAUUUCUCAUUUUUGUUCUGCCGACUCUUAAACAUAUCUAAUGGUGCUCUGGUGCACAGACUUAGGGCAGUCCUUCCUUCCUGUGGGAUUGACCCGUUCAUCCUCGUGAAAUGUCCUUUAACUGUUACGAACGCUCACUGCCUUAAGGUCUGGUACUGAUACAGGUGUGGUCAGUGUUUGCAGGGCGAUUUUUCACACCGUUCAGCCUCGGUUUCUGUUUCUUUGUAGUUAAAGUGAGACUCUUGCAAUCAGGAAGUUGUCUGGUUUUGGUCUUGCAUCCAGUCUGAUGGUCCUAACCUUUCAACCGGAGGAUUUAGAUCUGCAUACGUUUAAUGUAACUGAUGCGGUUGAGUUUCCAUCUGUCUUUACUUACAUUUUUGAAGGGCUCAGAAUUCUAGUUUGGUAGUUCUUUCUGCUGGCUGUUUGUGACAUUUUUUUCCCUUUGGUUUUUAGCAGUUUGUGUAUACGUGAAUUUUUUUUUUUUUUAACCUCACUUUGGGUCACUGAGAUUUUUCAGUGUGUGAAUUGAUGUCUUUAUUCAUUUUGGAAAAUUCCUGGCUACCAUGCUGUUCCCUCUCUGCUUUUUCUCAGGAACACCCUAACACGUGGGGCAGAGCCAGGUGGCGGACCCGGGUCAGGUUACCCACGCUGCACAGGCACAGCCCCGGUCCGGAGGGCAGAGCCAACAAGGUGGAGGGGGCAGGGAGACAACUGCAGAGAGAAGACCCAGAUCUCAAAGCUGCCAGGGUCCCCUCCCGCCACCCCUGACCAGAAGAAGCACGCAGGUCAGGA